AGUGAACGCUGGCGGUAGGCCUAACACAUGCAAGUCGAACGGCAGCACAGUAAGAGCUUGCUCUUACGGGUGGCGAGUGGCGGACGGGUGAGGAAUACAUCGGAAUCUACUUUUUCGUGGGGGAUAACGUAGGGAAACUUACGCUAAUACCGCAUACGACCUACGGGUGAAAGCAGGGGAUCUUCGGACCUUGCGCGAUUGAAUGAGCCGAUGUCGGAUUAGCUAGUUGGCGGGGUAAAGGCCCACCAAGGCGACGACCCGUAGCUGGUCUGAGAGGAUGAUCAGCCACACUGGAACUGAGACACGGUCCAGACUCCUACGGGAGGCAGCAGUGGGGAAUAUUGGACAAAGGGCGCAAGCCUGAUCCAGCCAUACCGCGUGGGUGAAGAAGGCCUUCGGGUUGUAAAGCCCUUUUGUUGGGAAAGAAAAGCAGCAGGUUAAUACCCCGCUGUUCUGACGGUACCCAAAGAGUAAGCACCGGCUAACUUCGUG
rnacentral:rRNA from 1 species